rnacentral:sRNA from 1 species
GGAUGGGCCUGAAGGGAAGAGAAGAGAGGUGAAGAAGGCCCCAAGAGCGGGGGCAGAUUAGGGACCUAGAGAAAGUUGCUAGGCAGUGCUGGGGGCCACUGAGUUUGGAAAGGUGGAUUUGAGCGGCGAGAGUCUUUGUGGUCAUGUGGCGGAAUCUAGAGCCCCCAGCAGCCUAGGAGAAGGAGCAGGGAAGUCUAGUCGAUGGAAACGUGGCAUUUCUUCCCACCAUAUGUCAGGAGGUAAGAAGGCAGGCAGGUGAGGCUGGUGGUGAGAGCGUGAUGGAUAGGGCGUGCAGCAGGGUCCAUGGUGGAUAGAGAAGAAGGUGAAGGCAGAGUGGAGCCAGGAAGUCGUGGUCUUGAGACAGUACUGGGUUGACCCUCCCUGGCCCGAGGGGUUGGAGGGGGUGGAGGUUUCAGAGGCCGGGGGUGCAGUGGAGACUGCGGGUAAAAGCAAAGGGCAGCAGAGGAGGGAAUAGCCAUGGAGGGAGCACUGCCCACCUCACUCCUCUCUCCUCCCCACAGCAUCCUGAUCAGGUUUAUCUCCAACCCCAUGGCCCCCUCCUGGUGGGGCUUCCUGGUGGCUGGGCUGAUGUUCCUGUGCUCCAUGAUGCAGUCGCUGAUCUUACAACACUAUUACCACUACAUCUUUGUGACUGGGCUGAAGUUUCGUACUGGGAUCAUGGGUGUCAUCUACAGGAAGGUCAGCUGGAGCAGGGCCCAGGGGAAAGGCUGGCCCUGGGCAGCUUGCAAGAGGUUCGCAGCCAAGUCCACCCACUACUGUCUAUCUGCAGGCUUUGGUUAUCACCAACUCAGUCAAACGUGCGUCCACUGUGGGGGAGAUUGUCAACCUCAUGUCAGUGGAUGCCCAGCGCUUCAUGGACCUUGCCCCCUUCCUCAAUCUGCUGUGGUCAGCACCCCUGCAGAUCAUCCUGGCGAUCUACUUCCUCUGGCAGGUGACUCUCCAACCCUGACCUCUGCCUCCUUCCUCUGACGUGCUGCAGAAGUGGCAAGAGAGGAUUAUUCUGGAACUGGGUGCAUGGCACAUGCUUGUAGUCCCAGCUGCUCAGGCGGCUGAGGCAGGAGGAUCACUUGAGCCCAAGAGUUCUGGCUGCAGUGCGCCAUGAUUGUGCCUGCGAAUAGCCACCGCACUCCAGCCUGGCCAACAUAGCAAGACCUUGUCUCUAAAAAGAAACAAAGAAAACAAAAAAAAAAAAGAAGGAGGGUUAUUCUGGGUUAGCAGAGGGGAUGUAGAAUUGACACAAGAGCUGGCUGGGCACGGUGGCUCACGCCUGUAAUCCCAGCAUUUUGGGAGGCCAAGGAGGGUGGAUCACGAGGUCAGGAGUUCGAGAACAGCCCGGCCAGGAUGGUGAAACGCCAUCUCUACUAAAAAUACAAAAAUUAGCCAGACGCGGUGGCGAGCGCCUGUAGUCACAGCUACCCAGGAGGCUGAGACAGGAGAAUCGCUUGAACCCAGGAGGCAGAGGUUGCAGUGAGCCGAGAUCAUGCCACUGCACUCCAGCCUGGGUGACAGAGCAAGACUCUGUCUCAAAAAAAA